GCGAAUGUGGUUUAAUGGCAGAAUAUGAGACUGUGGAUCUUGUGGAGCGGGUUCGAUUCCCGCCAUUCGCC
rnacentral:tRNA from 1 species